rnacentral:rRNA from 1 species
AACGAACGCUGGCGGCAGGCUUAACACAUGCAAGUCGAACGCACCGCCAGGGGAGUGGCAGACGGGUGAGUAACGCGUGGGAACAUACCCUUUUCUACGGAAUAGCUCUGGGAAACUGGAAUUAAUACCGUAUACGCCCUACGGGGGAAAGAUUUAUCGGGGAAGGAUUGGCCCGCGUUGGAUUAGCUAGUUGGUGGGGUAAAGGCCUACCAAGGCGACGAUCCAUAGCUGGUCUGAGAGGAUGAUCAGCCACAUUGGGACUGAGACACGGCCCAAACUCCUACGGGAGGCAGCAGUGGGGAAUAUUGGACAAUGGGCGCAAGCCUGAUCCAGCCAUGCCGCGUGAGUGAUGAAGGCCUUAGGGUUGUAAAGCUCUUUCACCGAUGAAGAUAAUGACGGUAGUCGGAGAAGAAGCCCCGGCUAACUUCGUG